CCUACGGGAGGCAGCAGUGGGGAAUAUUGGACAAUGGGGGGAACCCUGAUCCAGCCAUGCCGCGUGUGUGAAGAAGGCCCUCGGGUUGUAAAGCACUUUCAGUGAGGAAGAACGCCUGGUGGUUAAUACCCAUCAGGAAAGACAUCACUCACAGAAGAAGCACCGGCUAACUCCGUGCCAGCAGCCGCGGUAAUACGGAGGGUGCGAGCGUUAAUCGGAAUUACUGGGCGUAAAGCGCGCGUAGGUGGCUUGAUAAGCCGGUUGUGAAAGCCCCGGGCUCAACCUGGGAACGGCAUCCGGAACUGUCAAGCUAGAGUGCAGGAGAGGAAGGUAGAAUUCCCGGUGUAGCGGUGAAAUGCGUAGAGAUCGGGAGGAAUACCAGUGGCGAAGGCGGCCUUCUGGACUGACACUGACACUGAGGUGCGAAAGCAUGGGUAGCAAACAGGAUUAGAUACCCCGGUAGUC
rnacentral:rRNA from 1 species